CCGACGGUGAGGGAUGAAAGCUGGGGGCACGAACCGGAUUAGAUACCCGGGUAGUCCCAGCCGUAAACGAUGCUCGCUAGGUGUCAGGCAUGGCGCGACCGUGUCUGGUGCCGCAGGGAAGCCGUGAAGCGAGCCACCUGGGAAGUACGGCCGCAAGGCUGAAACUUAAAGGAAUUGGCGGGGGAGCGCAACAACGGGUGGAGCCUGCGGUUUAAUUGGACUCAACGCCGGACAACUCACCGGGGGCGACAGCAAUAUGUAGGCCAAGCUGAAGACUUUGCCUGAAUCGCUGAGAGGAGGUGCAUGGCCGUCGCCAGUUCGUACUG
rnacentral:rRNA from 1 species